rnacentral:rRNA from 1 species
CUACGGGAGGCAGCAGUGGGGAAUAUUGCACAAUGGGGGAAACCCUGAUGCAGCAACGCCGCGUGAGUGACGAAGGCCUUCGGGUUGUAAAGCUCUGUCUUAGCUGACGAAUAAUGACGGUAAGCUAGGAGGAAGCCGCGGCUAACUACGUGCCAGCAGCCGCGGUAAUACGUAGGUGGCGAGCGUUGUCCGGAAUUACUGGGCGUAAAGGGAGCGUAGGCGGUUUAUUAAGUGGGAUGUGAAAUCCCCGGGCUUAACCUGGGAAUUGCAUUUCAAACUGGUUAACUAGAGUGCAGGAGAGGAAAGUGGAAUUCCAAGUGUAGCGGUGAAAUGCGUAGAGAUUUGGAGGAACACCAGUGGCGAAGGCGACUUUCUGGACUGUAACUGACGCUGAUGCUCGAGAGCGUGGGGAGCAAACAGGAUUAGAUACCCCUGUAGUCCA